GUUAAAAGGAACAAAAGAUAAUGGCAAAAGUGUCAAUAAUUUAAUGGUAGGGAUAGUUUGAGGUAUUUUUAAAAAUAUAGGGACUAAACGAGUACUAACUUCAAAAUAUAGGGACUAAACGAGCUUUUACCCUAGCAUUUUAUAUAAAAAAAAAAAUCCUCUCUCUAAGGCAUUGAGUAGCCAGGUCUGGUCAUGAGCCCCAUGUUCAGCCUUGAGUAAAAGAUAUCUCUAGAUAAGAUUAUAUUACAGAUAUUGCUACAACAACUCUGAUCUGUGCAUGGUUUGAGUAAUUGGGUGUCAUAAUUACAAUUGAUUAACAUUCACAUGAAAAAUAAAUGUUGCAGUGAGGAGGUUGAAUACUCUCAAGUUUUCAAUCUUUAAACCAUCACAGUUUGAGUAUGUGAAAUUUAUGCUACCCCAUAUAUAAAUGAAAUUUUGUUACUGCUGAAUUACAUGCAAUCUCUUGGUGAUGUUAUAGCAUCUCUAGAAUUCAAUCAAAGUAGCACACACACACUAUGGACAAAAAGAAGCUUAAGUCUAGAACUGAUUUACUAUGGUCACUUUGAAUGAUUGGGAUUGUGAUAUGAAGGUGGAAGAAUCCUUGCAAAUUUGAUAAAAGAGCUAAAGUUGUGUUGCAUGGUUGUUGGCGUGAAGUGUUAGCAUGUUGUCAUUACUUGAGGACAAGUAAUGGUUUAAGUUUGGGGGUGUGAUAACUCUAUGAAAUGAGAGUUAUUACAUCAAUUCUAGACUUAAAUCAAGAUCACUUAGAGAACAAAUAAGGUGUUUUUAUUACAUUUUGGUUAUAUUUUGCAUAAACAUUCAUUUUCGUUCAGUCUUAAUAAGUUUUGCUUGAAUCAAAGUAAUUUGUGCUCAAAACAGGUACAUAAUUGUAGGUUUUCAGAAAGUCUUAAUUCAUAAAGGGAUGCUGAGACAUUAGAUUAGCAAGAUGAGGAAAAAAGAUGGCCGCAAAAGAAGUAAAACACAAUCGGGAACAGUGCAGUGUUGUAGCUAUUAUUAGAGCAACCAGUGUUGUAGCAAUCUGGGAGCAAUGAGGGAGAAAACUUAGGCACGGGUCAGCUGCAGAAUCGCGAUCUGCAUGUUUCCUAAUUUAACUCAUGUACGCCCACAUACUUUUGUUUACCCUAGUUUGUAGUAUAAAAGAGGGGCGUGCACCACAUAGAAAGGCGGCAAGGGAAUUAUCAUUAAAAUCAUUAGAGAGGAAAGGAGAAGAAGAUCAGAAUUAAAGAGUGCGGUUUCAGUAGCAUUGAGGAAUCUUGCAGAAUUAUUUGGAUUUGUCUUUUACCGUUCUUAACUUAUACUUCUCUUCUUUCUUUGAUUGUUCUGAUGUAUCCCGUGAACAAUAUAUUUAUGUUUGUUUUUCUCAUUCAAAAUAUGAACUAGAUUUAUUUCUAGUUGAGUGACAAACAAUCUAAUGGGUUCUUGACUAUUCUUAUGUGUUGUUAUGUCAUUGCUGUAGCAUUUUACUCUAGUAGUUAUUAUUAAUAUAACUGUUAUUUCGGUUGAUCACCCAUUUAAUAGUUCGAGUUAAGAUAGAGCCGCAAAAAGGCAUGUCUUAGCGGAUAUUAUUAUAGUAUUACUUGAUCUUAAUUUAAGUUUCCUGGAUUAAGUUAUCUUGAGUCCCAUAAGGGCUAUACUUAAAGUUAAGAUUUGUGACACACUAGACAUAUGUGCUCACUUUGUAGGGUGGUGAGACUAAAGGGUCAUAAUGCCAUAUCAUAAGUAGAUUAGCAACUAGUCAUUGUUAAUAGAUUUAAGGGUAUGAGAGUUCCAAUAUGCGAUAGCUGAGGAUGUAGAUUAAUUCUGUCCAGUGCUGCAGCACUUGUCGUAACAACUGGUGUGAACUUGAUGAAAAGCAGUCAGCCCAUAAGGAGAAUUUGAUCAUUCAACUACCAUAGUCUCAAUUGAAUCUUAGACACAUUUAAUUUAGUUUAAUUCAUUACGGUAUUGUUUUACUUUAUUCUCUCACAAUCAUCAAUUACGAUAGAACCCACUCUACAUUUGUUAACUUCGGACUUAAGUUAAUUUGCACUAUUGUGAUUGCUAUAGCAUUUCAAGUGACAUCAAUCCAUGUGGAGACGAUCUUGAAUAUUCAUCACUUUAUUACUUGUUGUGUAUAUUUGCACAUUGGCAUUAGUAGCAUUUGAUUAUAAAAUUAACCAACAAACGCCUUUAUCACUAUCAAUAGCAACUAGUAGGAGAAAAUUUUUCUCUCAAGAUUAGAGAAAAAAAUCAAUUUCUCUCAUCUGUAUAAAUGUGUCUUCUCUCUCUUUUGAGAGAAAAUGAGCCUUU
rnacentral:lncRNA from 1 species